UCCCUUAUAACUCAGUUGGUAAAGAAUCUGCCUGCAAUGCAGGAGACCUGGGUUCGAUUCCUAGGUUGGGAA
rfam:TPA: Bos taurus chromosome 14, whole genome shotgun sequence.